UACGGAGGAUCCGAGCGUUAUCCGGAUUUAUUGGGUUUAAAGGGUGCGUAGGCGGCUCUAUAAGUCAGUGGUGAAAGGUACCCGCUUAACGGGGACACUGCCAUUGAUACUGUGGAGCUGGAGUACAGAUGAAGUGGGCGGAAUGUGUCAAGUAGCGGUGAAAUGCAUAGAUAUGACACAGAACACCAAUUGCGAAGGCAGCUCACUAAAGUGUCACUGACGCUGAGGCACGAAAGCGUGGGGAUCGAACAG
rnacentral:rRNA from 1 species